CAGCACCUCAAGUGGUCAGGAUGAUUAUUGGGCCUAAAGCAUCCGUAGCCGGCUCUGUAAGUUUUCGGUUAAAUCUGUAUGCUCAACAUACAGGCUGCCGGGAAUACUGCAGAGCUAGGGAGUGGGAGAGGUAGACGGUACUCGGUAGGAAGGGGUAAAGUCCUUUGAUCUAUUGAUGACCACCUGUGGCGAAGGCGGUCUACCAGAACACGUCCGACGGUGAGGGAUGAAAGCUGGGGGAGCAAACCGGAUUAGAUACCCGAGUAGUCC
rnacentral:rRNA from 1 species